GGUCGCUGCCGGCACCGUGCGGCUCGCGCCGCGCGGCUCCGGUGGAGGAAAGUCCGGGCUCCACGGGAGAACGGUGCCGGCUAACGGCCGGCGGGGGCGACCCCAGGGACAGUGCCACAGAAAACACACCGCCCGCACGGCGCCGGUUCUCCGGAUCUGCGGGCAAGGGCGAAACGGUGCGGCAAGAGCGCACCGCGCUUCCGGCAACGGCGGCGGCAGGGCAAACCCCACCGGGAGCAAGACCGAAUAGGGAUGGCAGGCGCCGGGGAUCCGCCAGGGUUCGCGGCGCGGGGGGCCUUCCCGCCCCGCCAUCCGGGUUGGUCGCGUCAGGCGCGCAGCGAUGCGCGUCGCAGAGGAAUGACCGUCACGGGCCGCGCGAGCGGCCUUGGACAGAACCCGGCUUACAGGCCGUCUGGCGCC
rnacentral:RNase_P_RNA from 1 species